AAGCAGUGGAAUCAACGCUGUGUAAAAGCAAAUUGGUGGGUAUCUUUCAACAAACAAGGAUGGUCAACUUGUGACAAAACAAACCAGUUUAUCACUGGCUUAUAUCUCAGUGCAUUAAGUGCCAACAAUGAUGGACUUUACCGUCUUGAAGAAGCCAAAUGCUGCAAAUCUAGUCCAAUAUAUAUUUGGCAGAAAAGUAUUUGCCGAAAUGCUAACUGGCGGGACUCUUUGAAAAAAAAAGGAUGGAGUGCUUGUUCGAUUGGAUAUUUUCUAAAUGGUCUCUAUUGCACAAACGGACAACACUUACACAACCUCAAAGAGGGAAAAUGUUGCAAACCAGUCAAUCAUCCCGACAAGUAUGGUGAUUGUUACUAUGAAAAUAU